CUCUAAGUUGUUUUUUUAUAACAUCUUCUUCGAAGGUUUUAAGUAUAGCAUGAAUUAGCUUUAUUUUCGCAAAUAAGAUAUUGUGAGAGCUUCUUCUUUGUAGGUUAUUGGCAAAAAAAGAUAUGUCGAGUCUGUUAAUUCGGGUAUAUAUAUUAAUUCUCUAAAUUUGCGUAGCAACAAUAUUACUUGUUCUCUCAUGUUACUUAAUUUGAUUGGCUCUUUUUUUGGUUGAUUAAUGGAGGUUUUAGCAUAUAGAACUUUUGAUACAAGUAUAUUUUUUGAAAAAUGGUGAGUUAGUUGAUGAAGAAGUCAAAAUUAUUUUUUUGUUUAUUCUAUAUUUUAUAUUUCUCUAUAUAUAUUUUGUGUGGUCCGACUCAGCGUUGAUUAUAACGUAAUUUGGGAUAAAGAUAAAAAAUUUUGAGAUGCGAGACAUCAAAUAGAAGAAAGAAAGAGAUCGGUAUGCCAACAAGAGCGGAAGAAAGCGAUGAAUGUCAGGUUGCACUCCUGGGUAUCUCAAUUUACUUCUGAGGAAUGCCUGCGAAAGAGAUUUAAGGAAUAUCUCUAUCACACUAUUGCAAAUCUUAAAGUCACUAGAUCGAAGCUAUCGAAGCUCCAAGAGGAAGCCGCGAAAAAGGGAAUAUCUGAAAAGAUAGAACAGAUGAAACUUGACUCAGGUUGUCAUGUAAUCUUUCUUAUGUAUGGUCAAUAUGAUUUCUAUCAUUUCUCAAGCAAUGUCUGAAAAAAGAGAACGGAUAGAACUUGAAUCAAAAUCAAAAGACAAGGUAUGUAUGUUAUUGAUUAAUGUGCUAACACUGACUGUCAACCAGCUAAAUGGACCUUCUUCCUAUCUAAAUUUUUAAUAGUAGUUAAACAUUCUUGUCUUAUUUUAUAUAGAGCUAACUUUUAUUCUGAUGUUAGAUGCUGUGAUAUUGUUCUAGGUUACACUACCAUUUCAAGACCCCAUUUGUUGGAUUACACUCCGUAUGUUGUUGCUAGGGUGAAAUGUUGUGACAUUGUUCUAAGUUACACAACGCUUAUAGAUGAUGAGCAUCGACAAGUCGUCUGAGGCAAGUGCUAAGGCUCUCUUUUGAAACUAAAAAAGGCAAGUGCUAAGGGGCUCUUUUAAAACUGAAAAAGGAGGAACAGAUUAGUUAGUAGUUAUUCCAGUUAUAAACUUUUAUAUCCAUUGAAGUCUUUUGACACUAAAUUCCAACCAUAUUUUUGAAAGAACAUGAAGUUAGAGAAAGGUUCAUAGGCAAUUCAAUGGAUUCUUUGACAAAAGACCUGGUGAGAUCGUACAAGUCGAGACUAAUGACGAACAGGUAAAAAUCUCAAAAAGGACUAACGAGAGUUUUUAUCUCUAAAGUAGAUUUUCUCGACGUGAAUUCGAAUUCGAAUUAAUCGAAUCCCAAAGUCGUUACAAAUCAAAAACCAAAAAAUUAUAAUAACCUUAUAUUUGUUAAUUACUAUAGUAUAGCUUAUCAUAUUCCUUUUGCUUUGAAUUCUCUGGAGCAAUAUUUGAUAUUACAUCCUGCGUGAUCACAUUUUUAAUUAGUAAUAUCACUAAUUGAACGACACAAUGCCUCACCUCUCUUACAGAUUAGUUUUACUAUCUGAUGGUGCUAUCUUUUCUUGUGUGAACCGCACCCUCUAAGUAUGAUUUCUACAGCAGUAUCGAUACAAAUUUUGGAAGCGAAGAAGAAGACCAGUCUGAGCUGCUCACUUUUGAAAAAAAGAAGUAUCUGAGUCCCUUCAAGACGCGAUUUUGCAGAACCUUUUGAAAAAAUCAAAGUGAUGUCGUGCGCCGCAUGAACCCGAUCAGUCCAAAAUGGCACGUCGGGUCCAAGACAAGCGUGAAAAUGGAGUUUCUUUUGGUUGAGUUGGAAGGUAAAUUACGCAAGACAAUGAAAAAUUGUAAAUCAUAGGAGGCGGCAAUAGCAUCAGAAAGAAAGCAAUUGACACCUAAAGAACUAGAGAUGAAAAAGAAAAAGAACUGCCGCGCCCCAUUUUUCUCGCAAAAAGUGAGAUUCGACGUGACAAACUCUUUUUGGGACUAUUUAAAGGAGGAGUGUGAAGAGUCAUCACCUAACGAAUUAAGGUGUGUUAGGGCACCGAUCUAGGCUACUACAAACCUAUUUUGUUUUUUAUCCUAAUUCACCAGAAAUUCGGAUAAGGGUUCAGAUUACCUCAAAAAAAAGGUGUUAGGCAUCUUUUGAGGUUCACAAAGGUGGUUUUCCGAUCGAAUUCGUAUUUUACGUGGGAAUUCUAUGUGAUCAAAUAAAAAUCGCUUAUUUUUAACU